AAUUAGAUCGGUAGGGGAGUGUCGUUAAAGCGCUGAAGCUGAGCUGUAAGGCUUGGUGGAGUUUUAACAAGUAAGAAUGUUGGCAUGAGUAGCAAAAAUGCCGGUGAGAAUCCGGCAGGCCGUAAGUCUAAGGAUUCCUACGCAACGUUGAUCGGCGUAGGGUUAGUCGGGCCUAAGGCGUAUCCGAAAGGAAAAGUCGAUGGACAGCUGGUAAAUAUUCCAGCACCUUCAAAUUAUUGUUUGAUUCAAAGGGGUGACGCAGAAAGAUAAACAGAGCAUACGUAUUGGACAUCGUGUGUUUCUGCCUGUAAGAGAUAUAGAGAGGGUUAAAAUACUUUCUAUGCUUGAUCUGAGGGGUGGGAGAACUAUGAAGUUAGCUUCGUAGAAUUCUGUUGACUCUAGACUGCCAAGAAAAGCCUCGUUGAUUAGAUAUUUUGAAGACCGUACCGCAAACCAACACAGGUAGACAGGGAUAAAAGUCCCAAGGCCUUCGAGAGAACCAUCGUUAAGGAACUCGGCAAAUUGACCCCGUAACUUAGGGAGAAGGGGGACCUUUUAUGUAUAUGAGCUUGCCUCAGAAAGCGUAAAAGGUAGCAUAAAAUAGGUUGAAGCGACUGUUUAUCAAAAACACAGGUCCAUGCCAAAGCGAAAGCUGAUGUAUAUGGGCUGACGCCUGCCCAGUGCCGGUAGGUUAAGGAAGGUGGUGCAAGCUACUGACUGAAGCCCCGGUGAACGGCGGCCGUAACUAUAACGGUCCUAAGGUAGCGAAGUCCCUUGUCGGGUAAGUUCCGACCCGCACGAAUGGCGUAACGACUUCAACACUGUCUCAACGAUGGACUCGGUGAAAUUGCAGGACCGGUAAAGAUGCCGGUUACGCGCAGCAGGACAAAAAGACCCCGUGGAGCUUUACUGCAACUUGGCAUUGGUUCGAGUUUUAAAAUGUGUAGGAUAGGCGGGAGACUAUGAACUUCAGGCGUUAGCCUGGGGGGAGUCGCCCUUGAAAUACCGCCCUUUUUAUGAUUUGAACCUAACCUUUUGGAACAGUGUCUGGUGGGCAGUUUGACUGGGGCGGUCGCCUCCCAAAGAGUAACGGAGGCGUACAAAGGUCACCUCAAGCUGGAUGGAAAUCAGCUUUUGAGUGCAUUGGCAUAAGGUGGCUUGACUGCGAGACUUACAAGUCGAGCAGGGACGAAAGUCGGUCAAAGUGAUCCCACGAUUCCGAGUGGAAGGGUCGUGGCUUAACGGAUAAAAGCUACCCCGGGGAUAACAGGCUUAUC
rnacentral:rRNA from 1 species